rnacentral:rRNA from 1 species
UUAAAAANGUUCGGUAUAUCCAGGCGUUUUCCUGUAGGGUGGACCCUUGCGGAA